AAAAUUUUCGGGGCUCCACUUAGCAAAAAUUCAGUGUUACUUUCCAUUAGCAAAAAUAUUUUUUUACUUUCGAGUUAGCAAAAAGCUAAAUUUACUUGAUAUUAGCAAUAAAAAAGACCAUAUUACUUGAUUUUAGUAAAACAAAGUUUUUUUUAGCCGCUUUGUUCACAGACAGCAGCCGCCGCGCCAGUUGGGAGAAAAAUAAAAAGUUGACGCGAUUAAGUGCGGUCCCGGAUGUUCGUUGCUGGUGGUGCUUGUGGUGACCAACUCCACGACGAAAUGGUAGCUAAAUAGACACCGGAUGCUUACAGAUGACAAACGCCGGCAAACACGACGGGUUUUUUGCAACAGUCCGGAAAUGAAAAGUUGAAAUUGGAAUUUUGAACCCGCUGCUACCGGAACAAACCCGGUGCGUUCGUGAAUUAGGAUCGGUCGCUUGGCGUUUCACUCGCCGAAAGGUGUGUUCCCAGGAUUGUAAAUUAUUAAAUAAAAGUGCAAAUUAAGUUUCGAAAAAAUUUGUAAAAUAAAAUCAAAAUGAAGUUA